UACGGGGGGUGCAAGCGUUGUUCGGAUUUAUUGGGCGUAAAGCGCGUGUAGGCGGUUUUAUAAGUCUGAUGUGAAAGCCCUGGGCUCAACCUGGGAAGUGCAUUGGAUACUGUAGGACUUGAAUACGGGAGAGGGCAGUGGAAUUCCUGGUGUAGGAGUGAAAUCCGUAGAUAUCAGGAGGAACACCGGUGGCGAAGGCGGCUGCCUGGACCGAUAUUGACGCUGAGACGCGAAAGCGUGGGUAGCAAAC
rnacentral:rRNA from 1 species